UUAUAUCAAGUUGUAGAGGGAAAUUUUUCUCCACCCAAAGGCCUAGUAGAAAAUAAAAAUGAAAAAUAUCCAAACCUAUCAAUAUAUAAUUUCUGAAAGUGAAAUUUAGAAGCUAAAAUACCAGAGUGAUGAGACGAAAAAUCAAAUUACAAAUGUAUUUAAAAACAUGAGAAAAUUCACAAGGAAGGGACCUUGAGGGAAAAUUACUUCAAAGGGGAAGGAAUUAACUCCUCUAUCAUGAGACCAGCCCUUUCUUGUGGCUGUGAAAAUUGAUGCAGUGUCACAUAUACAUUUCAAAUGUAAAAGGAAGAAAGAAAAUAAAUAACUGGGGCCACAAUUUCCAAACCAAAAGAAAGAGAAAAUGGAACAUCAUAAAACUAUACAAGCAAAGAAGAAAAUCAAUAAAAUUCAAUGCAGCACAUCUUCCUGCUUACUUCUGAGCACACAAAGUUCACUCAUCUGGAAUGCACCAGGUGUACCGUAUGUGUAAUAAAUCUUUCAAGUCUUCAGAAAUAUGAUCUAUCAUUAGAAGUGCUGAAAAAUACCAGUUGGCUUUACUAAUUGUGGAUUUUGCUUUCCUCUAAGCUUUCCUUUUGACCAGAACCGCUGGUGUUUUGUUUCUAUCUGAGAGCAGGGAGACUGAUAUCAAGCAGCAGCACACUGCCCAAAUGGCUGAAAUGAAAUGGUGUUAUUCCACUGGAAAAAUAUUGACUAUAAAAUCCUGACCUUGGAAAGUGGACCUGAAGAGAGACUCACAUUUAUUUCCAGUGUGUUGGAUGACUGUGACUCUAACUAAAUGGAACAAUGUCUUCAUCCAUUUUUGGUACUCAGGUUCUCUUCCUGCUUCUCUGUUAUGUUUUGAAGCAACUGAGAGACCCUCAACAGAGGCCAAACAGAUGUAGCCACUCAUCUUAGAAUUUUGGCCUCCAAAACUUCCAAGCAGCUUGCCAGUCUUAGAAGAAUGAAAGACAAAUGGAGAAUCUAUGGCCUGAUGGCAAAACCACAUAAGCUCAGCCUAAAUCUGCCAAAUUCCAGCUGUCUCAAGGCACCCAAGAAGCCAUGUGGAAGUAUGGUUUCAGUACUUCCUGAAGAAGAAAGGGGUUUGGAUCUCUUAAGA
rnacentral:lncRNA from 1 species